UUAAUUUGACUUUAAAUGAAUCCAACCAUUUGCACUUAUUUCACUGUGUCUUGCAUACCCGGUUCAGGAGAAUCGGGAAUUAGAAGGCAAGGGAGGCCCCUAGGGGAUAGGGAAGAAUUCUUGGCCGUCCGCUUCCUACUGUGUCGCAAUGUGUUUCAUUUUGGACCUGGGACCAGGCUCAGUGUUCUAGAUGACCUGAACAAGGUGAUUCCCCCAAAGGUAACUGUGUUUCAACCAUCUGAGGAAGAGAUCGAGGAGAAGGGAAAGGCCACACUGGUCUGUCUGGCCACAGGCUUCUACCCUGACCUUGUGGAGCUGAGCUGGUGGGUGAAUGGGCAGCAGACUCAAGUUGGGGUCAGCACAGACCCUCAGCCCUCCAAGGAGCAGCCUGAUAACGACUUCUCCAAGUACUCGCUGAGCAGUCGCCUCCGGGUUUCUGCUCCCUUCUGGCGCAAUCCCAAGAACAGUUUCCGUUGCCAAGUAUUGUUCCAUGGGAUCUCAGAGGAUGAGCCCUGGACCGGUAACACAAGCAAACCCAUCACCCAGAAUGUCAGUGACCAGAUCUGGGGAAAGGCAGAUUGUGGUGUUACCUCUGAGUCCUAUCAGCGCAGUAUCCAGUCUGCCACCUUCCUUUAUGAGAUCCUGCUGGGGAAAGCCAUGCUGUAUGGCCUGCUGGUCAGUGCCCUGGUGUGGAGAGCCAUGGCCAAGAAAAAAUAUUCCUGAUGCCAGCUGUGGAGGUGAGAAGAAGGAGAAGAGUCUGCUUUCUCUAUUCUUAUUCCGUGUUCCAGAAAAGCUGUUGUUCCCUCAGUCUUCAUCCCCAUCCUUCAGAGGUCUCUCCAAAGACAACAUUCCAGUCCCAAGGGGAGAAGGAUGGUGGUUUAAUUUUGAAGAAAUAAAAAAGCCUGCCUUGGCUUAGCAGUUA